AGAGGUUCUACUCCCUGCUGGACAGGUUCCGAACCACCGUUGCCGAGGACACCAGCAGCCCCUCCCCUCCUGUGACAUCACACCCCCUAGAUGGGGAACCGCCACCUGCCCCUGAACUAGUCAAGGCUGACAAGGAGUGGUAUGUUGCCUUGGUGAUGUCCCAGUGCUGUCUCCGUGGUGACGGGUCGUUCCUGGAGACAACGGAACUCCUGACCAAACUACCUCCUGACGACCUCUCUACCAUCAUGACCUGCAAGGACUUCAACCUGUCUCUCCUCUGUCCGUGUCUGAGUCUGGGGGUUCAGAGGUUAACCCGGGGUCAGGGGUCGUUGCUGUGGAGACGGCCCUGGCCGUGACCCUGGAUCAUCUGAGCGGGGUCACACAACUACUUCCUGUUCCACACCGUUCCUUCCUGCCGCCGGCCAAACCUGACCCGGCCGAACCCUACUGGGACAACUUGGCUAUCGUCUAU